rnacentral:rRNA from 1 species
GACGAACCGUGCGAACGUUGUUCGGAAUCACUGGGCUUAAAGGGCGCGUAGGCGGACCGGCGAGUCAGGGGUGAAAGCCCGCGGCCCAACCGCGGAAGUGCCCCUGAUACCGCCGGCCUUGAGGGGGAUAGGGGCGUGCGGAACUUCGGGUGGAGCGGUGAAAUGCGUAGAUAUCCGAAGGAACACCGGUGGCGAAGGCGGCACGCUGGGUCCCUACUGACGCUGAGGCGCGAAAGCCAGGGGAGCGAACGGG